CGUUUCCCCCCCCCCUGCUUUCUUGUCAAUUACAAUUGUCUGAUUUCAUUGUGGAGUUCAAGGUUGCACUCCGAUUGGCUGCUUGUGACCGUGCACUGGCAGGGCUGUCUCGAGGGGGUCACGGCAGGAUGUCCCGCACAUGAAGGAAGACUCCAUGGAAACUUCGACGGCCUGCCUCUCGUGCACGUUAAACGAGGAAUUCGGACAAAAGAGGCCCCCUUUCUCCCCAUUGGGAAUACCAGAAUAGAGAGAGAGGGCGAUCGACAGGAGGGGCCCCAGCUGCACCUAGUUUAGCCCCCUGCGUGGCGUCCCGUCCAUCCUCAUUCACGCCACUGUACGCCACCCCUCCUUCCUACAGCAGUUGCUUUGCACCUGGACUCUGAUGUAUGGCUAAUUAUCAGCUCCUCCUUGGGCAGGCCAUGUCGGGGCGCUCCGGGGAUUGUACCACCACUGCGACAAAACAAUAUACUCUCUGGGAGGAGCUCUGUAGUCUUUACAGCGUAUGAUGCACCGAGUAGAAUUAGAGUAGGAUUCCCCGCCCCGACAGCCAGACCUUUUAGAGAGAAAAAAAAAAACUUAAUCUAAAGUACGAUAUGCAACACCUGCCUCGCGACAGUCCGAGGACGCUUUGCAACUCAAACGCAGGACCUCGUGAGUGGGUGAUUUACAUUGUACUGUAGCUCGAAGUCUUGCUUGCUUUUGUCUAUUUGGUCUAUUCAGGAUCAGAUUACAAACCCCCUCCCCUCAAUCGCCCCCCUCAGCUUUUUUUUUCUACUUCAUCUCAUGCCCUAUGCUUGCAAUCAGUGUUUUACCGAAUAAAUGUGUGGAAAUUGAAGGGGAAAAAAAUCAUAAACAUACCGAGUGCAGAAAAACCGUUAGUAAAAGGAACCUGGAAAAGACCUUUUGAACAACAGAGCGCUUGGAUGAAUUCCAAGGUUGUUGUUUUUUUUUUUGUUUUUUUGAGCUGACCGAUAAAUUUGCUCUGAAAACAGUUCUUGUAUUGUACCUAAUAAGACCUUCAUCACAUAAUAGGCUGAAUGGCGCAGAAACAAAACCAAACCAAAGAAGAGAAACUCCCUGUUUUACUCGUCAAUUACCCGUUCAAAUAUUGAUUAGCAAAGCAGAUACUAAUUGUGUAAUUGUGUGUUUAGAACAUGAUCCAAAUUUAAAGCCACACCGACAUCAGGUCGCAUAUAUAUCAGCCCAUAUUGGCCAUUUCUAUACCAUCUAUUUCGCAUAGACAUCUAGCAAUGUAAUGUUUUUGACAAUCACUUUACAUCAAUUUUAAGGUGCAAGGAUUUAAGAUUCUAGUUUACCUUAAAAAAGAAUACUAGCUCAUUUGCAAGUAGAUGCUGGGAUGAAAAACUAGACUCCAAUCUUAGGAAAUAAACUUAUUUUGUUUUUAUACCUCCCCAGCAAGAGUGUAAAAUGUUCACAUUAUUUCUCCUGUUACCGUCCACACGUCAUGUGGGGAAAAAAACAGCACCAGUAAAAAAAAAAUAUAUAUAUAAAAAAAAAAAAGAACCGAAAACCAAAAUGAACAUGCUAAGAACUACGUUCUUU